GUAGGGAAUAUUGGGCAAUGGAUGCAAGUCUGACCCAGCCAUCCCGCGUGCCGGAAGAAGGCCCUCAGGGUUGUAAACGGCUUUUGACGGUGAAGAACCGACAGGAUGCGUCCUGUUUUGACGGUAGCCGUUGAAUAAGCACCGGCUAACUCCGUGCCAGCAGCCGCGGUAAUACGGGGGGUGCGAGCGUUGUCCGGAUUUAUUGGGUUUAAAGGGUGCGUAGGCUGGAAGGUCAGUCAGCGGUGAAAAGCUAUCGCUUAACGAUAGUCUUGCCGCAGAUACUUCCUUUCUUGGAUGAGGAGGAGGCCACUGGAACGGAUGGUGUAGCGGUGAAAUGCAUAGAUAUCAUCCAGAACACCGAUUGCGAAGGCAGGUGGCUGUACCUUAAUCGACGCUGAUGCACGAAAGCAUGGGGAGCAAACAGGAUUAGAAACCCUAGUAGUCC
rnacentral:rRNA from 1 species